AGCGUACACGGUGGAUGCCCUGGCAGUCAGAGGCGAUGAAGGACGUGCUAAUCUGCGAUAAGCGUCGGUAAGGUGAUAUGAACCGUUAUAACCGGCGAUUUCCGAAUGGGGAAACCCAGUGUGUUUCGACACACUAUCAUUAACUGAAUCCAUAGGUUAAUGAGGCGAACCGGGGGAACUGAAACAUCUAAGUACCCCGAGGAAAAGAAAUCAACCGAGAUUCCCCCAGUAGCGGCGAGCGAACGGGGAGGAGCCCAGAGCCUGAAUCAGUGUGUGUGUUAGUGGAAGCGUCUGGAAAGGCGCGCGAUACAGGGUGACAGCCCCGUACACAAAAAUGCACAUGCUGUGAGCUCGAUGAGUAGGGCGGGACACGUGGUAUCCUGUCUGAAUAUGGGGGGACCAUCCUCCAAGGCUAAAUACUCCUGACUGACCGAUAGUGAACCAGUACCGUGAGGGAAAGGCGAAAAGAACCCCGGCGAGGGGAGUGAAAAAGAACCUGAAACCGUGUACGUACAAGCAGUGGGAGCACGCUUAGGCGUGUGACUGCGUACCUUUUGUAUAAUGGGUCAGCGACUUAUAUUCUGUAGCAAGGUUAACCGAAUAGGGGAGCCGAAGGGAAACCGAGUCUUAACUGGGCGUUAAGUUGCAGGGUAUAGACCCGAAACCCGGUGAUCUAGCCAUGGGCAGGUUGAAGGUUGGGUAACACUAACUGGAGGACCGAACCGACUAAUGUUGAAAAAUUAGCGGAUGACUUGUGGCUGGGGGUGAAAGGCCAAUCAAACCGGGAGAUAGCUGGUUCUCCCCGAAAGCUAUUUAGGUAGCGCCUCGUGAAUUCAUCUCCGGGGGUAGAGCACUGUUUCGGCAAGGGGGUCAUCCCGACUUACCAACCCGAUGCAAACUGCGAAUACCGGAGAAUGUUAUCACGGGAGACACACGGCGGGUGCUAACGUCCGUCGUGAAGAGGGAAACAACCCAGACCGCCAGCUAAGGUCCCAAAGUCAUGGUUAAGUGGGAAACGAUGUGGGAAGGCCCAGACAGCCAGGAUGUUGGCUUAGAAGCAGCCAUCAUUUAAAGAAAGCGUAAUAGCUCACUGGUCGAGUCGGCCUGCGCGGAAGAUGUAACGGGGCUAAACCAUGCACCGAAGCUGCGGCAGCGACGCUGAUGCGUUGUUGGGUAGGGGAGCGUUCUGUAAGCCUGUGAAGGUGUGCUGUGAGGCAUGCUGGAGGUAUCAGAAGUGCGAAUGCUGACAUAAGUAACGAUAAAGCGGGUGAAAAGCCCGCUCGCCGGAAGACCAAGGGUUCCUGUCCAACGUUAAUCGGGGCAGGGUGAGUCGACCCCUAAGGCGAGGCCGAAAGGCGUAGUCGAUGGGAAACAGGUUAAUAUUCCUGUACUUGGUGUUACUGCGAAGGGGGGACGGAGAAGGCUAUGUUGGCCGGGCGACGGUUGUCCCGGUUUAAGCGUGUAGGCUGGUUUUCCAGGCAAAUCCGGAAAAUCAAGGCUGAGGCGUGAUGACGAGGCACUACGGUGCUGAAGCAACAAAUGCCCUGCUUCCAGGAAAAGCCUCUAAGCAUCAGGUAACAUCAAAUCGUACCCCAAACCGACACAGGUGGUCAGGUAGAGAAUACCAAGGCGCUUGAGAGAACUCGGGUGAAGGAACUAGGCAAAAUGGUGCCGUAACUUCGGGAGAAGGCACGCUGAUAUGUAGGUGAAGUCCCUCGCGGAUGGAGCUGAAAUCAGUCGAAGAUACCAGCUGGCUGCAACUGUUUAUUAAAAACACAGCACUGUGCAAACACGAAAGUGGACGUAUACGGUGUGACGCCUGCCCGGUGCCGGAAGGUUAAUUGAUGGGGUCAGCGCAAGCGAAGCUCUUGAUCGAAGCCCCGGUAAACGGCGGCCGUAACUAUAACGGUCCUAAGGUAGCGAAAUUCCUUGUCGGGUAAGUUCCGACCUGCACGAAUGGCGUAAUGAUGGCCAGGCUGUCUCCACCCGAGACUCAGUGAAAUUGAACUCGCUGUGAAGAUGCAGUGUACCCGCGGCAAGACGGAAAGACCCCGUGAACCUUUACUAUAGCUUGACACUGAACAUUGAGCCUUGAUGUGUAGGAUAGGUGGGAGGCUUUGAAGUGUGGACGCCAGUCUGCAUGGAGCCGACCUUGAAAUACCACCCUUUAAUGUUUGAUGUUCUAACGUUGACCCGUAAUCCGGGUUGCGGACAGUGUCUGGUGGGUAGUUUGACUGGGGCGGUCUCCUCCUAAAGAGUAACGGAGGAGCACGAAGGUUGGCUAAUCCUGGUCGGACAUCAGGAGGUUAGUGCAAUGGCAUAAGCCAGCUUGACUGCGAGCGUGACGGCGCGAGCAGGUGCGAAAGCAGGUCAUAGUGAUCCGGUGGUUCUGAAUGGAAGGGCCAUCGCUCAACGGAUAAAAGGUACUCCGGGGAUAACAGGCUGAUACCGCCCAAGAGUUCAUAUCGACGGCGGUGUUUGGCACCUCGAUGUCGGCUCAUCACAUCCUGGGGCUGAAGUAGGUCCCAAGGGUAUGGCUGUUCGCCAUUUAAAGUGGUACGCGAGCUGGGUUUAGAACGUCGUGAGACAGUUCGGUCCCUAUCUGCCGUGGGCGCUGGAGAACUGAGGGGGGCUGCUCCUAGUACGAGAGGACCGGAGUGGACGCAUCACUGGUGUUCGGGUUGUCAUGCCAAUGGCACUGCCCGGUAGCUAAAUGCGGAAGAGAUAAGUGCUGAAAGCAUCUAAGCACGAAACUUGCCCCGAGAUGAGUUCUCCCUGACUCCUUGA
rnacentral:rRNA from 1 species